rnacentral:rRNA from 1 species
AAGGGACCUAGCGUAGUUCGGAAUUACUGGGCGUAAAGCGCGCGUAGGCCGUUGAGUUAGUUAAUUGUGAAAUCCCAAAGCUUAACUUUGGAACUGCAAUUAAAACUGCUCGACUAGAGUUUGAUAGAGGAAAGCGGAAUACAUAGUGUAGAGGUGAAAUUCGUAGAUAUUAUGUAGAACACCAGUUGCGAAGGCGGCUUUCUGGAUCAACACUGACGCUGAGGCGCGAAAGUAUGGGUAGCAAANAGGAUUAGAUACCCUCGUAGUCCAUACCAUAAACGAUGAUUGCUAGAUGUUGGAAAUUUAUUUUCAGUAUCGCAGCUAACGCAUUAAGCAAUCCGCCUGGGGAGUACGACCGCAAGGUUA